CGCCCAGCCCGCCGCGCACGAGAACGCGGCGCGCCCGCCCACGCCGCGCGACACCACCGCCACGCGCGGCCGUCGCUCGCCCUCGCUCAGCGGCGUGUCGUGGAUCACUUCGCCGCAUUCUACGCCUGUACAUGUAAAGGUGCGCUCCAGUUGCCAGAAGCCCUGCAGACAAGGGCGUGAGCUCCCAACAGAGCGUUGCCGUUGGCACAGUGGAACCUGAUCUCUGUGCCCAGACGGGUGUUCAUUUCGCUUGGCACCAGGCCUCGACGGAUGGGAAGAGGGGGGCAGUGGACAUCUGAGAAAAAUGCAUAAGCAAAGACCACCACUUGCUUCCAGUGAAUGAAAACAUCGUGAGCAAAUCUGCACACUGGUGGAGAGUUUAGUUUACUAGUGUGUAUGCGACUACCUGCCACUAGAUGUAAGGAUAGUGGUGGGUUACAUUCCACUUCGGGUUCCCGAACCUCCUCAUCCAGAGGCACUCCAUGUGCAGCAUGGUCCCAGGGUACACCAGCAGCUUGCCGUCGUUGGUCUGAGCUAUCGGACCCAGGGAGUGACGGAACAGGAUCGUGGGGGGUUUCUCCACUGGAACAGAAAAGAUCAGUUUCCACGUGGUCUUCUCCCCCAUGAUGGAAGCUAUACAUCUGAAGGUGAUCUCGGUGCCGUGAGGGUACCCUUCCAUCACCAUGGUCCCGUUGACUUCGUCACCGUCGCGGUAUAUCAGUGUGCCUUGAACCCUGAACAUUUGGACAGAAUUUUCUAACAAAGCAAAAAUAUUCAUGAUGAAAAAGUUAUUUUUUAAACUUUAAAAAAGAAAACACAUUGAGCAACAGAAACAAAGCUCGGCCAAGACAUAAAAAGCCAACCAUGGCCAUCCAACAGCUUUUUCAACAGACAUACACAAAAAAGUUGUAUGUGUGUGCCUAAAACUAAGCCCCGCCAUCUGAGGAUUUGAAACCUAAUAAGUAAUGAACUUGAAAAAGAUCCCUCAUUCAACAAAAACAUCGAAAAGAAAACAAAAUUUCUUGAUAGAAAUCUUGAUGAUAUUGAAGUAUUCUUUUCAGAAGAUGAAAAUAUUAAUAAUGACAAUAAUGUCUGUUUGAGAUGAUGAUUUCCUUGAUGAUCGUGAUGAAGAAAAUGACAGAGAAUUUAAAGAAGCAAAAGUCCGAACCUAGAAGGCUCUCACCAGGGCUUGGCAUCCCUGAACGCCAGUGUUCCUUUCAGUCUAUCCAGCCAGCAAAUAAGAAACGCAUAUUCUUUGCAAAAACAUUAUUUUUUGUCAUUUACUUGUCAUCCUUUCGGGGAUGAUGCAGGAUUUAAACCAGUCCAACUCUCAGUUGAAGUUAACUUCUACAAUUCACUUGCAAAAUUACACAAUUUUAUUUUCAUUUGUCACAUUGCAAAAAUACAUGAUACACUUUAGGAGAUUGACAAAUGUUAUGAGAGUUCAACUUGUUUUUAAUACAUUGCACAUAAUUCACCAGACAAUAGCAAAGUAAAACUAAAAACAAAGAAAACAACCUGAUAUGCCAAUGCAGCGAUAUACCACUAAAUACCUUACCGAUGUCGUAGUAAUUAAGAUUGGCAAAAUUUCAUCAAAUCAGAUCGGCAAAAUUUCAUCAAAUCAGGACAACGGUAAAAUUGAAAGUUGUGGCAUUAUGGCAACUGCAUGAGAUGUUUGGUAAAAUGAUAAAUGUACAUAAAACAAAACACACGAAAGCUACAAUGAAAGCGCAUCGAAAUAACAAACUUUUGAACGUUUCUGGACAAUUUUUACUUUACAAUACCAAUCGAUACCGUUUUAUUGUCGUAUUGUCAACAAGAAUUUAGAAGAAAGACUAAAUAUCUACAAAAAACUUUCGUCAAAUUACAAGAAUUAAUUUAGUUAGUCUAAAAUAAUGAUAGUUAACAUUACAAAAAUUAUUGCUGAUCGAUUACUUUGGUUUUAGAACCAUUAUAUGGUCAUCUCAAUUGAAAUUUAAUUCAGGGAGUAUACAUUUUUAGUAUUGGUGCAUUCAUCUAUAUGUAUACCUUGCC